UUUGGCACUAGCACAUUUUUGUGUCAUAUUUCUACACAAAAAUUGUAUUAGUGUCAAGUA
rnacentral:pre_miRNA from 1 species